rnacentral:rRNA from 1 species
GGAAAGGCGCGCGAUACAGGGUGACAGCCCCGUACACAAAAAUGCACAUGCUGUGAGCUCGAUGAGUAGGGCGGGACACGUGGUAUCCUGUCUGAAUAUGGGGGGACCAUCCUCCAAGGCUAAAUACUCCUGACUGACCGAUAGUGAACCAGUACCGUGAGGGAAAGGCGAAAAGAACCCCGGCGAGGGGAGUGAAAAAGAACCUGAAACCGUGUACGUACAAGCAGUGGGAGCACGCUUAGGCGUGUGACUGCGUACCUUUUGUAUAAUGGGUCAGCGACUUAUAUUCUGUAGCAAGGUUAACCGAAUAGGGGAGCCGAAGGGAAACCGAGUCUUAACUGGGCGUUAAGUUGCAGGGUAUAGACCCGAAACCCGGUGAUCUAGCCAUGGGCAGGUUGAAGGUUGGGUAACACUAACUGGAGGACCGAACCGACUAAUGUUGAAAAAUUAGCGGAUGACUUGUGGCUGGGGGUGAAAGGCCAAUCAAACCGGGAGAUAGCUGGUUCUCCCCGAAAGCUAUUUAGGUAGCGCCUCGUGAAUUCAUCUCCGGGGGUAGAGCACUGUUUCGGCAAGGGGGUCAUCCCGACUUACCAACCCGAUGCAAACUGCGAAUACCGGAGAAUGUUAUCACGGGAGACACACGGCGGGUGCUAACGUCCGUCGUGAAGAGGGAAACAACCCAGACCGCCAGCUAAGGUCCCAAAGUCAUGGUUAAGUGGGAAACGAUGUGGGAAGGCCCAGACAGCCAGGAUGUUGGCUUAGAAGCAGCCAUCAUUUAAAGAAAGCGUAAUAGCUCACUGGUCGAGUCGGCCUGCGCGGAAGAUGUAACGGGGCUAAACCAUGCACCGAAGCUGCGGCAGCGACGCUGAUGCGUUGUUGGGUAGGGGAGCGUUCUGUAAGCCUGUGAAGGUGUGCUGUGAGGCAUGCUGGAGGUAUCAGAAGUGCGAAUGCUGACAUAAGUAACGAUAAAGCGGGUGAAAAGCCCGCUCGCCGGAAGACCAAGGGUUCCUGUCCAACGUUAAUCGGGGCAGGGUGAGUCGACCCCUAAGGCGAGGCCGAAAGGCGUAGUCGAUGGGAAACAGGUUAAUAUUCCUGUACUUGGUGUUACUGCGAAGGGGGGACGGAGAAGGCUAUGUUGGCCGGGCGACGGUUGUCCCGGUUUAAGCGUGUAGGCUGGUUUUCCAGGCAAAUCCGGAAAAUCAAGGCUGAGGCGUGAUGACGAGGCACUACGGUGCUGAAGCAACAAAUGCCCUGCUUCCAGGAAAAGCCUCUAAGCAUCAGGUAACAUCAAAUCGUACCCCAAACCGACACAGGUGGUCAGGUAGAGAAUACCAAGGCGCUUGAGAGAACUCGGGUGAAGGAACUAGGCAAAAUGGUGCCGUAACUUCGGGAGAAGGCACGCUGAUAUGUAGGUGAAGUCCCUCGCGGAUGGAGCUGAAAUCAGUCGAAGAUACCAGCUGGCUGCAACUGUUUAUUAAAAACACAGCACUGUGCAAACACGAAAGUGGACGUAUACGGUGUGACGCCUGCCCGGUGCCGGAAGGUUAAUUGAUGGGGUUAGCGCAAGCGAAGCUCUUGAU